UAGAUCGUAUUGAGCAGAAUAAUACCGUUUGAAUAAUUAAUUGAUUAUUAAAACCGCAUUAAAAUAGCAUCGAACGCAAAAACAUUCGUAUAUAGCUCCAUCUUCGUACGUGUAUCGCCGAAUACAAGCUACGAAAAAAUGGAAAACGCACCGAUCCACGAAGCUACCAUUGCAAUUCAAAAAAUUCGUCGUACUUGUAAAGUAGAAAAGAGAGACGGCGAAUAUUGCCGGUUAUGUUAUAUUAAAAACCACCCGGAUGAACAAGAAUACCCAAAAUGGAUCCGACUCGAUUAGUUAGAAUGGUGGGAUGGCGUGACGAAUAAUCAGCCAUGUUUACAAAUUCAUUUAGAAUUUUGGGCAUUAUCAACAUGGCAAGAAAAGAAAAUUUAUGUAUGCAAUUUGAUCCAAAUGAAUGAGACAGCUGGAGCAAGAGAUAGAAAAAAAUGAAGAUGAGUCUAGAGUUUGACCAUCCCAUUCAUUGGUUCAUUAUUUGAAUGUCGGUGCAUCCACAUACAGAGUUUGCAAAAAAAUGUUCUUGAAUACUUUUAGUCUCAGUGAAUCUUCUGUUCAUUCCUGGAAAAUUGAACAAAAUGGUCACAUUUCUCAUUUCUCCACCAUCAAAACAAAAAAACACAGUCCACAAGUAGUAAUAUUUUUAGUUUAUUCUGUGUAAAAGAUAUUCUUUUGGUUGGGUUAUUCAUAAGAUAAUUUCAUUUUUUGUAAUUUUUUGCAUGUUGUAUAUUGUUUUUAUUUCUUAUAUGUUCUCAAGUUUUCUUCACCUACUACGUACGUAAUAUUCACAAGCUAUUUCACCUUGUAUGCACUUGUAAAUAAAUUCUAAUACUUGU